rnacentral:rRNA from 1 species
AGAGUUUGAUCCUGGCUCAGAUUGAACGCUGGCGGCAUGCUUUACACAUGCAAGUCGAACGGCAGCACGGGCUUCGGCCUGGUGGCGAGUGGCGAACGGGUGAGUAAUGCGUCGGAACGCGCCGAGUAGUGGGGGAUAACGCAGCGAAAGCUGUGCUAAUACCGCAUACGUACUGAGGUAGAAAGUGGGGGACCUUCGGGCCUCACGCUAUUCGAGCGGCCGACGUCUGAUUAGCUAGUUGGUGGGGUAAAGGCUCACCAAGGCGACGAUCAGUAGCGGGUCUGAGAGGAUGAUCCGGCACACUGGGACUGAGACACGGCCCAGACUCCUACGGGAGGCAGCAGUGGGGAAUUUUGGACAAUGGGCGCAAGCCUGAUCCAGCCAUGCCGCGUGUCUGAAGAAGGCCUUCGGGUUGUAAAGGACUUUUGUCCGGGAGCAAAGCCUACUUGUUA